rnacentral:RNase_P_RNA from 4 species
GGCCCCUAGCGGGGGUCACGGAUAGGAUCUGAGGAAACUCCGGCCUCCAACCCCCGUAGGAACCCCUAGACGGGGUGAGGAGAGAUUCCUCGGCUCCUACACAGAAACGUAAGCUUUAAAUCUCGAUUAAUGUCCAGACCUGCUACUAGGCAACUAGUAGCAGUAUGGGAAAAAUGAGAGAUUUAAAGCUUGAAACGGUAGACCUCCUAGGAGUAAGUUGGGAGGGGAUGAGCUGGGGGUCAACUCUCCCUUGGACGCUAAGACAAAUCCCCCUAUUACAGAAGCCGGGUUAUGCUAGGGGCC